rnacentral:rRNA from 1 species
AGCGAACGCUGGCGGCAGGCCUAACACAUGCAAGUCGAACGAACCUUUCGGGGUUAGUGGCGGACGGGUGAUUAACACGUGGGAACGUGCCUUUAGGUUCGGAAUAACUCAGGGAAACUUGUGCUAAUACCGAAUGUGCCCUUCGGGGGAAAGAUUUAUCGCCUUUAGAGCGGCCCGCGUCUGAUUAGCUAGUUGGUUGAGGUAAUGGCUCACCACGGCGACGAUCAGUAGCUGGUCUGAGAGGAUGAUCAGCCACAUUGGGACUGAGACACGGCCCAAACUCCUACGGGAGGCAGCAGUGGGGAAUCUUGCGCAAUGGGCGAAAGCCUGACGCAGCCAUGCCGCGUGAAUGAUGAAGGUCUUAGGAUUGUAAAAUUCUUUCACCGGGGACGAUAAUGACGGUACCCGGAGAAGAAGCCCCGGCUAACUUCGUG